rnacentral:tRNA from 1 species
CACUAUGAAGCUAAAUAGCAUUAACCUUUUAAGUUAAAGAUUGAGAAGUUAAUCCUCCAUAGUGA